rnacentral:rRNA from 1 species
UGGGGAAUAUUGGGCAAUGGGCGCAAGCCUGACCCAGCAACGCCGCGUGAGGGAAGAAGGUCUUCGGAUUGUAAACCUCUGUCCUUGGGGACGAAAAAAAUGACGGUACCCAAGGAGGAAGCUCCGGCUAACUACGUGCCAGCAGCCGCGGUAAUACGUAGGGAGCAAGCGUUGUCCGGAAUUACUGGGCGUAAAGGGUGCGUAGGCGGUCCGGCAAGUCAGAUGUGAAAUCCCCGGGCGUAACUCGGGUGGUGCAUUUGAAACUGCUUGACUUGAGUGCAGGAGAGGAAAGCGGAAUUCCUAGUGUAGCGGUGAAAUGCGUAGAUAUUAGGAGGAACACCAGUGGCGAAGGCGGCUUUCUGGACUGUAACUGACGCUGAGGCACGAAAGCGUGGGGAGCAAACA